GGUGAGGUGUCCGAGUGGUUUAAGGAGCACGCCUGGAAAGCGUGUGUACGUUAAUAGCGUACCGAGGGUUCGAAUCCCUCCCUCACCG
rnacentral:tRNA from 1 species